GCAGAUGUGGCGGAACUGGCAGACGCACUACCUUGAGGUGGUAGCGGGUAAUACACCUGUAUGGGUUCGAAUCCCUUCAUCUGCACCA
rnacentral:tRNA from 1 species